AGCCGGCUCUCGUCGUUCACUUCAAAGAGCGUUACGUUUGCAACGACACAUCACUACAAUAUAUACGCGCACUUUGUCUUCUUUCACCUUAUUACAAUCAAAGCUACUUAUAAUGGAAAAAGAUGCCUACACGUGAUAAGAUUUUUUUUCUUCUCCUUAGGAGUGCGCUGUUCACUGCUUUCUAUCUUAUCAGUUAUCAUUUAUGUAUUUACUUGUGCCUUAUAAAUACAUCGGACAUGGACAUCAUCAUUGAUCAUUGUCGUAUAGAUUUAUGCUGUCCUAAUGCAAAUGGAGAAUGAGUUGGAGGGAAUAUUGGAGUUGAUAGCAUGGUCUAGCCUAUUACUACUCAAUCAAAAUGAUAGAAGAAUGAUGUUUCUCAUGUAGUUAGAUUAUUAACAAAAGAGGGCGCAAAAAAAAAAAAAAAAAGAAUAGCUAACUAAGAAAGAAAUAGCUAGAAUUAAAGAGAGGAGCUAGUGAAGUGAGUGGUUGUAAAGCGUGCCCGCAAAGAGAACGAAAGAAUUUUUAGGAGUUUGAGGUGAAAGAGGAAAGAAGAGAGAAGGUGGUUGAAGGUGCUUUAGUUGUAGGUAGAGCUGGUGGCGUACGUGUGAAAAAGGUAAAUGGGAGGAGUGAGUAUGUAUUGUAUUGACAUUGUAUUGAGUAAGUGAGUGGGUCUAGUCAUCAUCAUCUUAUUUUUCUUUACACCGUCAUUUGGAUAUUAUU
rnacentral:lncRNA from 1 species